rnacentral:rRNA from 1 species
AGAGUUUUGAUCCUGGCUCAGGAUGAACGCUGGCGGCGCGCCUAACACAUGCAAGUCGAACGGUUAAGGCCCCCUUUAGGGGGCGCAUAGAGUGGCGAACGGGUGAGUAACACGUGACCAACCCGCCCCCCCACCGGGACAACCGUCGGGAAACCGAGGCUAAUACCGGAUACGCCGGGGCCCCGCAUGGGGGCCCCGGGAAAGCCUUGGCGGGAGGGGACGGGGUCGCGGCCCAUCAGGUAGACGGCGGGGCGAAGGCCCGCCGUGCCGACGACGGGUAGCCGGGCUGAGAGGCCGAUCGGCCACAUUGGGACUGAGACACGGCCCAGACUCCUACGGGAGGCAGCAGUGGGGAAUAUUGCGCAAUGGGGGAAACCCUGACGCAGCGACGCCGCGUGCGGGAAGGAGGCCUUCGGGUCGUAAACCGCUUUCAGCAGGGAAGAAGCCUGACGGUACCUGCAGAAGAAGCCCCGGCUAACUACGUG